UGGUAAUCUAGUGUUGAAUGACAGUGGACAUAAUCUUAAAGCUGGUGUUAUGAAAGCUUUGAAAGCUCAUUUCGUUAGGUGAACCUAACUGGAUAAUGAAUUUCUUUUUUUCACUCAGCAGUCACAUGAUUCAAACUGAGAACAACCCGGUUAGGUCACGGGUGAUUAGCGUUGCUGUAACUGUUGUUCACUAAUCUCGUCUGUUCUAGUGCCUCACUGAGCAUCACGAUCUAUAAAGGUUUGUAAUCACCUCAGUCAGAGCUCUAUAGAUAGACUCAAGAAGUGACUGUGAUCAGUGAGUUUCCUGUUCCACUUAACGCCUUCUAAUGCCCUGACCCUCGAAGGCAUGGACUCCACUAAAAUCCUGAAGGUGUGCUGUGGUAUCUGGCAUCAAGAUAUUAGCAACAGAUCCUGGAAGUCCUGUAAGUUGUGAUGUGGGGCCUCCAUGGAUCGGACUUUUUUGUCCAGCACAUCCCACAGAUGCUUGAUUGGAUUAAGAUCUGGGGAAUUUGGAGGCCAAGUCACCAAGUCAAGCACCUCAAUUACUAUUUUAUCAUUUUUUAUUUGGCUUUUAAGUUUGUGCUUUUUUCUCUUUUAUAUUUUUUCUUAGGGUGAUGCAAAAUGGCCUUGUAGCAGAUUGGCCACCGUGUAGUACCAGGGGUGAAAUCUCAGUCCAUAGCAUUUCAUUUUCUGGCUCUUCAAAUACUAAAAUAACUUUCAUAAUUUUCUGGUUUCUUAUUAAAAACAUAGAUAACCGCCAUUAUUUUCAUCAGGGAAACAUUCAUCUCUCUUCCGUGUAUUUCCCCUUAUUGAUUGUGUUGAUUUUCAUUUACUUUUCCUCCUUGUUUUCCCUUCUUUCACCUCCUAACAUCAGCCCCAACAAAAUCCAUCUUACUGAUGCAAACUCCACUAGAAUAAAAACCAAAAUCAGCUUUGCACUUGCUGAUCUGAACUUGCUCAUUCCAUCCAUAUUUUGUCUGUUUGUAGGGAAAAAUAAUCUCCAAAGGUCCAAGUCUUUGUAAACAUUCCACUCAGCAACACAAACUCAGACGCAUAACCUUU
ensembl:lncRNA